rnacentral:lncRNA from 1 species
GUAAGUACCAUUACUUAAGUGUCUAUAAACCCAAUAUAUCUCAAAAAAGUAGUGCUUGUGCUUAUUGUUAAGUAUGUUCUAGUAACUGUACAGUUAGAUGGUUAAGUGAGACAUUACUUCUCUAGGUAUACAGGUGAUGGUGCUCCCUUUAGUGAGUCAUUUAAAAUUCUGUAGAUAUGUAAAGAAUUAAUGAUUAUCCAGAGUGGAAGGAUCAGGUUACUCAAGGAGAUCACAAGCAGGGUCAGGAAAUACCCCCUUGAAAAUUAUUUAUGCACCAGGCUAGACUCACCACCAGGAAACAGGAGCUGAGAGGAAAGGCCCUAGGUUUCUGCAAGUUCUGAACCAGCAAAUGUUGUCAUUAGAUGUGUUGGCAUCUAUCCUUGGAAGGAUAUAAUAAAUAAGUAGUUCUACAUGUGGGUGCUGGAGAGGCAAGAUGGUGCCUCAGGUAAAACGGCUGACAGCCAGGCUUGGAAGGAAGGACCGUGGUAAGGGCUGUGCCAAACACUUUCAAGAAUGCAAUUAUAUUAGGAACAGGGAAUUUGGGAUGUGAAGGCUCUUCACUGCAUUUCCUAGGAUGUAUCAAAUCAAAACUAUACUUGCUAAGAUGAACUAUGUAGCCUGUAUUUGAUCUGGUUAUUUUUCUAUAAUUUAAGUGUCUGUUCAAAAUGUCAACUUGUUUUAGGUAUUCUAAGGAGAACUAAAGAGAGAGAUUUGUAUUCAGGUUUGGAACAGAGAGAAAGAAAAGAGCUUCCUUGCUGGGAUAGAGCAGAAAUAGGUAAAGGACAGGAAAAGUUCAAAGGGAGAGAAACAAAUUCAUGGUGUGACAGCAGGAGUAGCUAGGUAGUGAAAGAAGAGGAAAUAUAGAACAUAGUUAUGUCCCAGAACAUUAAUCUACCUCCAAAUCAAGGAAUUCAGUAAGAGAUACUAGGUCUCUAGAAUUCUCCAGCAGAGAAAAACCAUGGUUUAUUUUAUUUUUAUUAUUAUUAUUUUUUGGCUCUUUUGCCAGGCUAGAGUGCAGCAAUGCAAUCUCGGCUCACUGUAACCUCUGCCUCCCAGGUUCGAGCAAUUCUCCUGCCUCAGCCUCCCAAGUAGUUGGGACUACAGGCACGUGCCACCACGCCCAGCUAAUUUUUGAAUUUUUAGUAGAGACUGGGUUUCACCAUUUUGACCAGGAUGAUCUCAAUCUCUUGACCUCGUGAUCCACCCACUUUGGCCUCCCAAAGUGCUGGGAUUACAGGCGUGAGCCACCGCACCUGGCCAACCAACCAUGCUUUGAUUGUCUGUCCCAUUGUGAGUCUAAGAUCCAAAGGACUCCGGAAGAGAUGUUGCCAGCCAUGAACAAGAGUUAAUGGAGAUAAUUUGUUUGCUAUCUGCCUCAUCAAGCAAGAUUGUACUAACCUUUCAGAAAUUUUACAAUUCUCUCCCCCUCACUCCUACCCCACUAUGCUCUAAAAGUUCUAAGGGAAUAUGUUUAACUUUCUAAAUUGUAAUGUGAUAGGACUACUGAAACUUGUCAGGAAAAUAAUUCUGUUUUAGACGGAAGACAAAUUGACAGCCACACCCAGUUUAAUCAAGGAUGUUUCUAUCAUUCUUACUGUUUGCUAAAAGAGAAAGGUAAUUGUGGUUGAUCAUUCAAAACUUUUUAUUAAGAAUAAACUGUAGACUCACAUGUUGCUGGAGUUUAGGGAUACAAUAAUACCCACACAAUUCUUACUCUUCAUGAAUAGCAGUGGGACAAAGAAAAUAAUUCUAAUACAUGAAUAUGAGUCCUAUGUUUUUCUAACUUCAAAAAGCUCUAGAAUGUCAGAGUAGAGACAACUUACCAAUACUGGUCAUCAAGGGUGGCCUCUUAGGAAAGCUCACAUGAUUCUACACAUGUAUUAGGGCAUCACGGACUAACACUGAAUUAGCAAGAUUGAAGGAAACAUAGAUGGGUCCCCACUCUAAAUUUUCUUCUGUCUUUAAAGAUCUAAGGAACUCUAGAAAUUAGCAUAACCAUGAGGCAGUAAAUGAUUAUUAGCUGUGAUGUGUGAUAGGGAUAAGUUUAUAGGCGGUCAGAGGAAAGAAAAGAUCUCCAGGGUUAUCAGCAUGACCAAUUUAUAAAUGACUUAAUUUGGACACUCACUCUGCUACUUUGCCAUCUGCUUUAAAAGAAUUUCCCUUCAUUAUGUACAACACCUGAUCAUGGGGUUGUGCCUAUAUUAAUGGAUGCCUUUUCUUUUAGGAAAGCCUCAUGUGCUCCAUCUUAAGUCGAGCUCCAGAGUCAUUCGAUGUUCAUUCUCUUUGCCACUUGGCAAUUCUAAUCUAUCAACAGAUGUCUGGAUAGAGCACUUUUGUGCAUAGAGCCUUUGAAAGAAGUCGGAGCUAAGGAAACUCACCAGCUUCUUUAGAGACAGAAACUCACAAGACACACACCUUGUGGUCCGAUCUUUAUGGCUGUGUGGGAGAACUACAGUGUGAUUUCAGACUUUUUCUUGACAUGUGGAGUCUGUUAAUCCUGAAACUUCAAAAUGUACAUAUUUCCCCCAAAUGAGAUGUAAGUCUGUUGAGUUAAUUAUCAUACAAUUAUAGCAAUGGAAAAGAAAACCCUAAUCAAACGUGAACAGCUUGUCUAACUAUUAACCAGACCAUGGUGAACCAUUACUUAGCUCUGACUUGCAUGAUCCAUCAUAGACUUUUGGCCCUCUGUGAACAAAUGCUUAAAUGAGUUCAUAGUCAUUUAAAACUGAAAGGCCUGGCUGCCUGGGUUCUUGUGAUUUUCUUGAAAUUGUUUAGUCAUUAUAUUUUACUGGCAUGAAGUUAUGGCUAUCUUCCUCUCUUUUCCACAUGAUAGGAAAGAGCACCCAGGUCAUGGACAUGAAAGACAUAGCUUCCCAGGACUUUGAUCUACUAAAGUGGUGAUUUGUUUUAUAACAUUUCUACUUAUAGUCCCUUAAGCUGCUAAAAAACAUUAGAAGUCAAAUCCCUUUGAAUAAGUUUUCUUUCUAGGAAGAGCCAGAGUCCAAAGCAUUGUAUUCAGGGUGUCUUUUAGUGUUAGUCCAAUUUGCACUAUAUUCAGGAUAAUUCAGCUAUUGCCAGUAUUCUAGCAGUCAAAUACAAAAUGACCCAGGUGAAGCAUGGUGAACUUUUGGUUUACAGUUUUAAAUUCAAGAGGUCAGUUUCGAUUGAUACAAGGAUAUGAAAUUAGGGUUUGUUCUGGUUGAAUAGGUUGAGGUUUAGGACAGGGAAGGAAAAAGAGAAAGGAUAAAGCCAAUCAGAUGGUAUGACAUCACAUUCAAGACUAAAUAAUGAGACUGUGAGCUCAUUUUAUCCUCAGGCACACUGGAAAGUAGGCAUACUAUACAGUAACAGCCAACUUUUUGUUCAUUCUAACUCUUACCACACCGAGCUUUCCUUGGUGUCAGCCACAGGGGUCACUAAGCCAUCAGCUGAUCAAGAAAGUCUCCCGAGUAGCUGGACUACAGGUGCCCGCUCUCAGGCCUCUGAGCCCAAGCCAAGCCAUCGCAUCCCCUGUGACUUGCACGUAUAUGCCCAGAUGGCCUGAAGUAACUGAAGAAUCACAAAAGAAGUGAAUAUGCCCUGCCCCACCUUAACUGAUGACAUUCCACCAUAAAAGAAGUGGACGCGCAUGAAAUUUGGUGCCGCGACUCAGAUCGGGGGACCUCCCUUAGGAGAUCAAUCCCCUGUCCUCCUGUUCUUUGCUCCGUGAGAAAGAUCCACCUAUGACCUCAGGUCCUCAGACCGGACCAGCCCAAGGAACAUCUCACCAAUUUUAAAUCAGGUUCCCACGCCGACCCUAAUGCCGCUUGAAGCAGCCCUGAGAAACAUCGCCCAUUCUCUCUCUCCAUAUCACCCCCCAAAAAUUUUUGCCACCCCAACACUUCAACACUAUUUUGUUUUAUUUUUCUUAUUAAUAUAAGAAGGCAGGAAUGUCAGGCCUCUGAGCCCAAGCCAAGCCAUCGCAUCCCCUGUGACUUGCACGUAUACGCCCAGAUGGCCUGAAGUAACUGAAGAAUCACAAAAGAAGUGAAUAUGCCCUGCCUCACCUUAGCUGAUGACAUUCUACCACAAAAGAAGUGUAAAUGGCCAGUCCUUGCCUUAAGUGAUGACAUUACCUUGUGAAAGUCCUUUCCCUGGCUCAUCCUGGCUCAAAAAGCACCCCCACUGAGCACCUUGCCACCCCCACUCCUGCCCGCCAGAGAACAAACCCUCUUUGACUGUAAUUUUCCUUUACCUUCCCAAAUCCUAUAAAACGGCCCCACCCUUAUCUCCCUUCGCUGACUCUCUUUUCAGACUCAGCCCGCCUGCACCCAGGUGAUUAAAAGCUUUAUUGCUCACACAAAGCCUGUUUGGUGGUCUCUUCACAGGGACGCGCAUGAAACCCGCCACCACGCCCGGCUAAUUUUUUGUAUUUUUAGUAGAGAAGGGGUUUCACCAUGUUAGCCAAGAUGGUCUCAAUCUCCUGACCUUGUGAUCCACCCUCCUCAGCCUCCCAAAGUGCUGGGAUCACAGGCGUGAGCCACCGUGCCCGGCCGUAAGUAGUAAUUUGAAUGAUUUCUACGUCAAAGAUAUGGCUACAGGCCAAGAAAAUACAGUGGUGGGUUAACAGACACAGUCUUGGCCCUAAAAAGGUUUACAGUCUAGUGGGAGAAGUAGCCUCAAAUAAGGGACUAGACAAA